ACGGAAGGCAGCAGUGGGGAAUAUUGGGCAAUGGGGGAAACCCUGACCCAGCAACGCCGCGUGGAGGAAGAAGGUCUUCGGAUCGUAAACUCCUGUCCUGAGAGACGAGAAGAAGACGGUAUCUUAGGAGGAAGCCCCGGCUAACUACGUGCCAGCAGCCGCGGUAAUACGUAGGGGGCAAGCGUUGUCCGGAAUGAUUGGGCGUAAAGGGCGCGUAGGCGGCCCGGUAAGUCUGAAGUGAAAGUCCUGGCUUCAAGUUGGGAAUUGCUUUGGAUACUGUCGGGCUUGAGUGCAGGAGAGGUUAGUGGAAUUCCCGGUGUAGCGGUGAAAUGCGUAGAGAUCGGGAGGAACACCAGUGGCGAAGGCGACUAACUGGACGAUAACUGACGCUGAGGCUCGAAAGCGUGGGGAGCAAACAGGAUUAGAUACCCUGGUA
rnacentral:rRNA from 1 species